rnacentral:rRNA from 1 species
CUACGGGGUGCACCAGUGGGGAAUAUUGCACAAUGGGCGCAAGCCUGAUGCAGCAACGCCGUGUGAGUGAAGAAGGCCUUCGGGUUGUAAAACUCUGUCCUAAGGGAAGAAACAAAUGACGGUACCUUAGGAGGAAGCCCCGGCUAACUACGUGCCAGCAGCCGCGGUAAUACGUAGGGGGCAAGCGUUAUCCGGAAUCACUGGGCGUAAAGGGUGCGUAGGCGGCCUAUCAAGUCAGAAGUGAAAGGCAUUGGCUCAACCAAUGUAAGCUUUUGAAACUGUUGGGCUUGAGUGCAGGAGAGGUAAGUGGAAUUCCUAGUGUAGAGGUGAAAUUCGUAGAUAUUAGGAGGAACACCAGUGGCGAAGGCGACUUACUGGACUGUAACUGACGCUGAGGCACGAAAGCGUGGGGAGCGAACAGGAUUAGAUACCCGUGUAGUC